AAUAAAAUCAUAUAUUUAUUCAAUCAAAUAUAAUAUCAAAACGUUAAACAAUUAUAUCAAAUAAUUCCUCUCUAGGGCAUAAACUCUAACAAGAACAAACAUAAGAUAACAGAAAAAUACUAGUAGUAAAUUUAGAGGAUCGGAGGCUAUACAUUUUGAGCUUGAAUAUGCUUGCAUUGCAAUUUAUGAGUUGCAAAGGCAUUGGUCAUGAUUCAAUACCCCUCAAAUGAUAGCUUUUUCUAUGGGCUUAUCCUUUGUAUCUGGUGAUUGGCCGACUUCCGCAUGCUGUCAUAAGAACUUUUUUUUUUAAAAAAUAAAAAAAUAAUCAUACUUAGCCCACAUAUAUAAAUAAUAUUGGCUUCAAAAGAUAUAAUAUAUGAGUGGAUUCAAACGCAGAAUUCCAAAAAUGUCAAAUAAGAAAAAAGACAAUAGCGCCGCUAAAUCCAAGUGAAACAUCCAAAUAAACCAAACUGCAGGCAUUAUCUAUCAAGGUUCUGCAGCCUUUCCAACCUUGUCAAUCAAUAAUUGUAGUACAUUUUCCUCAUUUUGUGGCCCAAGCAAAAAUCACAACUUUCAUUCUCUCAAAUAUUAAUUAUUCUUUUUACUACCUCACAAUCAGUUGUAUGGAGCAUCUUUUUAAUUUGCAUUUUUCUAAAAACUAGAAACACAUUAUUUAAUCGACAACUAACAUUGCAUAGAUUCAAAUUCUUAGUGCCGGAAUUGCUGCCAACAGGCAAUAUGUAGGGAGCUAGCUCUAUAUAUGUGGAAACAAACUAGGAGUAAGAAAAUCAUGAUUCAAUUAAACUUAAACGCACAAAAUCAUGUUCCAGUUUGUUCACUCCAAAGUAUAAUGUGGAGCUGCACAAUAAUAGGAGCUAGAUUCUGAGCUUCAUAUCUUGCAAAUAACAACAAUAAUGAGGCUUCAAAGUAACCCAUCAUGGCAUCUUUUAAUUAUAACUAAAAAAACUAUCGCCCAUAAACAUCAAAAUUUAGGAGCCAAUUACAUUAUUUACAACAAUUCCCACUUACGUUUAUGGGUUUUCAAGUCCCCCAACACACAAACACGAAGCUAAGUACUAGAGGAAGUAUGAACACGUAACAAGUUUAGUUUGGUCACUAUUCAGUCUUGAUCUGAUCGCUGACUAUUGGUCAUAACAGUUGAGAAAAAGCUUUUAUGAGCCAGAAUUUGUUAACACCAAUUGAGAAAAUUCAGAUGAGAAUCAAGUAUUGAAAACCCAUUAUAGAAUUUUAUGGGAAUUCGCCCAAUUUUCCAUGUCAAAUCCAAUGCCCUAACUGGGUAGAACAAUUUCAAACAUGAACAUCAAUACAAAAAACUGACAUUUUGAGCCUCAUAAUAGUAAUUAGCACAGAAACCAAAAUUCAAUGAUAAGCAUAUCCAAAUCAGAGAACAAAAUCGAUAAUACUCAAAUUGAAGACUAACCUUUAAUUAGAUGUAAUGUAAGACCCCAAUGGAGGAGAAGAUGGACAAAUCAACAGCCGCCAUCGCCGAAAAAUAAUGCCACCUCCGAAAAUUAGGGCUUUUAUUUCAAAAUUAGGGAUAAAGUAAGAGAAGAUAUAGAGGGGAAAGAAAGAGGAGAGGGAUGAGGAGGAAGGGGGAUAUGAGGGAGAGGACAGGAGAGGGAGAGGGCUGGACUGAGGGCUCGAAGGAGAGGUAGAUGAGAUGAAGAGAGCAAUGGAGUUCUGCUUUAGUUUUCUUUUUCUUUUAAUCACUCAGCUGCUUCUCUUCUCCUGUGUAAUUAAAAACUUACUCUUAAUUGACGGAAUUUUACGUAGGAAAUAACUUAAUUUCCAUGGAAUAAAUUUGUCGGAAAUACCCGAUUUUCUUGUAC
rnacentral:lncRNA from 1 species